AGACGGCGAUUCGGAGUCUGAAGUGCGAACAUGAAAGAGUGAGACUAAUUAUAAUGUCUUACCACUGCACUGCCUGAAAUCAACUUACUGAGAGGAGAUGGAACCAGGAAUCUUCCAGGUUUGAGCGUUUACGUUUCAUUCAUUGAGUGCUGCACACCACCUAAUGAACAUUAGGAAAUAUACAAGUGAACAAGUGACAAGACUUUGUUUGAGCAUUCUAAUGGUUGCAUGUUGAGAUGUUGAGUUGGAGAACCCAACAUGAAGUAGCAAGAGCAAAUCUAUAUCCUACAUGGCACAAUUUGGAUUCCACCCCUGCCCCACCACCUCCAACACAC